rnacentral:lncRNA from 1 species
AAAUAUUGCGCACUACUUAAUGGAUUAAAACAAUUAAUAACGAUAAACACAGAGAAUCACAGAUACAAGCAUAAAAAUAAAGUAUAAGAACAAAUUAGAUCUCACAGAAUAAUCUUGCUAGUGCUUCCCUAAUCGAUGCUGGAAUAAACGAAUUAGCUAGAACGCAUAAACAAAUAAAUAAAGAAAAUUAAGAAAUAAAUUGCGAAGAACAGAUGAAGAAAAGAAAACUUGAAUUAAAUUGCUCCAAAAUCACGUCCCAGCUGCUCUCCAGAAUGGGUGGCGUCUAUAUGUGAUGUCUCUCUAAGCGUGUAUCAUCACAAAUAUAUAUAUAUCUAUGGAAAUAACAAACCUAAUCUAAUAAAGUAAUAUAAAAAAUGGCCCAUGGGCCUAACUAAAGAUAUAAGGCAAAAUGCAGCCCUUUUAAAAGUCAAAGCCCACUAAAAGAAAGUAAAAGAGAUAUCAGUCGCCCAACUCUCGCCAAUUCAGCCUUAAUUUCGGACAUCACAGACAGUAUGGGCACACCGCACAGCAAACGCGCACAGAUUCAAACUCUUCAAAAUUCGAUCCUCUUAUCCAAAACCUAUCAAAACCAUGAAGAAUAUUUAUUAGUUUCACAAUUAAGUCCAAAAGAUAAUAAUAAGCAGGAACUAGGCAUUUAAAAUUCACCAAAAACACUCAAAAUAUGCGUAUAAAAUAUGCCCAAUCAAACUCCCCCACACUUAGACAAUGCUCGCCCUCGAGCAUAAGAAAAACAAAACAAAGGGAAGAACAAAACUCAAGACACAAACAAGACAAGACAAGACGCAACUAACGACGACUAGCCAUGGCAACAAUCACAACAAGCAAAUCUCAAAGUUAGAAUAAGAUACAAUCAUCAUUUUUCCUCAAACCAUUCUUGGAAUCAACAAUCAUGUGCAUUCACCCUUCAUUCGAGUCAAAAACGUGAAAAUCAAUCCAGCCUCACUAAAUUCGCUCAAAUCUCUCAAUAUCAAAAGGUAGGUAAAUUCACACACAUGCAACUCGACUCUAUCCAUUAUAAGUUUGCCACUAUGUCAAUAUCUUCAAUUCGAAAACUGAACUUAUCCAUGAAUCAAUAGGUCUUUCCACAAGGUUGUAAUGGGGCUAGGGUGCA